UUUCUCUUCCCCAAUUCCCAAAACCUAAAACCAAUUCCCCUUCCCCGUCUCUCACAUACGCUCUUCUCUCACCCGCCGCAAUUCGCUGUACUUCGGCCUCAACUUGGAGCCGCCGCCCCUCCCUCCGGUCUGCGAUGCGCCACACACCGGCCUCAAGUCGGCGCCGCCGUCCCUCCCUCCAGUACGGCCGAUCUACGAUGUGCUGCAGCUCCGGCCCUCACCAGCUCGCCCCGACCUGUCUCUUUCGAUCGACAACAGCAGUGCCCGACUACGCCGCCCUCACCUAGCCUUUCCACGCCAUGCCUUCUUCGGCCUCGAUGCCUCCGUCCGGCGACGAUAUAAUACAUGGCAUUCAGAGGAGGGGGCCUUAGCGGCCAUAGCCAGGGUCGUGGGCCGCCUAGGGCGAGGGAACUGCCUUUCGAUUAUCUUCCAGAAGAAUUCAAGGCGCUGCCGAAGGCUGGGGAUUUCUCAUAUUCAUGGGCCUCGACAAGUACGAGAACGAGGAGCUCAUCAAAUACGAAUUUCCUGAAGAUAUUUGGGAAAGGAAGGAGAAAAUGAAGAGGAUGAACCCGAAGAGGAAGAAAAUGUAGAAGAAGAAGAACUCAACAAUGACGGUGAUUAUGAGCAGGUAUACAUGUAUAAAGACGACCUGCUUGUGGACAUAUAAAUGGUGGAAACAAGUAAAUGAAGUUUUUGUUACACACUUUAUUUUUUGCUCAUCUAAAAUAUGUCAGCUCAUUUGAUUUGUCUUGCUUCUCUGUAGUUGCUUCGCUAAUGUGGUUCGAUUAAAAGAUUAUAUAUGUCCGGCCACUUGCUGCCCACAUCUUGGGAAAGGCCACAAGCUAGAAUGUAAUUUACUUGAACAUAUCAAUUUGUCCGCGUCCAUCAUACAAAAUUCAAUAACUCGUGUUUGUACUUUAGUAUAUAUUGUUAUACUAUUGACCAUUCCUUCUA